GACGAACGCUGGCGGCGUGCCUAAUACAUGCAAGUCGAGCGAAGCGGCGGAUGGGUGAUUAACGCGUGGGUAACCUGCCCUUAAGUCUGGGAUACCAUUUGGAAACAGAUUCUAAUACCGGAUACUAAAGGAUGGACCUGCGAUGCAUUAGCUAGUUGGUAAGGUAACGGCUUACCAAGGCGAUGAUGCAGGGCCGGUGUGAGAGGCGGAUAGGCAACAUUGGGACUGAGACACGGCCCAAACGCCUAGGGAAGGCAGCAGUAGGGAAUCUUCCACAAGGGAGGAAAGUCGGAUGGGGAAACGCGGCGGGGGUGAGGAAGGUUUUCGGAUCGUAAAGAUCUGUUUUUGGGGAGGCGGUAAUCAAAGAGAAAGUCACGGCUAACUACGUGCCAGCAGCCGCGGUAAUGC
rnacentral:rRNA from 1 species